GGGCAGCCACCAGCUCUGACAGUGGUUGUGUGAGCCAUCCUGCCUGUUUCUGCAGUGGUCUCAAGUUCUGUUUCUGUACUCAGUUACUCUUUCCUACCCAUGGUAGACCUCUAUGGGAACAGACUGUCUGGCUCAUAUGUAGUAGGCAUUUUUGGGGGGAGUGUUUACUGUCUACUCCAUCACCCUAAGUCACUCUGCAUCUUGUAAAUCCUUGAAGCGUAUGCUCCUAGCAGUCGCCGUGAUUGGUCCACUUCAUACACCUUACCACAGCUAGUGGAGCUCGGUGUGCAAAACGGAAGUGUCAAGGGAUGGAUGUGAAGAAGGCUCCGGUCUCCCCCAACAACUGCUCUCUGCAGAUAGUUUUUCCACCUUGGGAUGCUAUACGUGGAAUUUAGGAGGACCCAAGGACAAGCAAUCAGCCUUGCUGAACUUUGAACCUCUCUGCACAUGUAGACUCAGGCAGCUCCUUGCGCGAGCUUACAGUUUUCACAGUUGGUUUCUGACCCAUCUAGAUGGCCCCUGUUGCCUUGACGUUGAAUACCCUUGGAAGCUGUGCACGCAAGCAUUGAGAACCUUAGUUGUGCAGAAGUCAGUGUCUGUGCACUGACUACCCUUGACCAAAGGAGCUGAGAGUAGACAGGUGGCUGCUUCUGCUUUUGUCUCCCAGGUAGAAGUUCUGAGAGAUCUUCUGCAAGGCUCCCGGAAGGCCCUGGGGGAUGGAGUAACCACUGUCUUGAUUUGGCCAUCGAUUUGUGUUGCUGAAGGCAGGGAAGUCUGUUUAACUAAAGGACUAACGGAGACGUAUAGCGGGGUCUGAGAUCUAUGGAUUCCCUAGGAGAGGAAGCUAUGGAAAUCAUACAGGAAGAAGAGGCUGCUUUCUCUUGAGAGCCCCGUGGUCAGUGAAGUCCCUCAGUGAGUGGCUGUGGUUGGAACAUGGAAGGCCCUUUGCAAGUUCGGGAAAUGAAGUGGGUUUGGGGAUCCAGGAGGGCUGCCGGUCCAGUGGGGGAAUCCAGCGAAAGUAAGAAUGCAGCAACGGAAGCCAUUUGCCAGGAAGUCACCAGAGAAGAUUUCAAAAUGUACUGGCUGGUCUCUACCAAAGGUUGGGAAGCCCUGGCCUCUGGAAACAAGCAACAAGGACUUCCCCUGCUGUCUUUCUGUUCUGCUUCGAAGGGUUAAGCUUUUCCUAACCUUCAGAUGCCAGUUUAUUUACUGGAAUUACCGCCUGCUUCUUAAAAUUAGAAUGCAUGUGUAUCUAAGUUUUGCUUUUUCAUAGAUCUAUACAGAUAAAGAUAGAUAUAGAGUUUAUAUGUGUUUGUUUGUUUUUCUGUGUUUCCCUGGCUGUCCUGGAAGUAGAUUUGUAGACCAGGCUGGCCUUAAACUCACAGAGACGCCCUGGCCUCUGCCUCCCAAAGUGCUGAGAGGAAAGGCAUGGACCACCACCACCAUGCCAAUAUUUUUCUUUACGACCGUGGUAAAGCGAUGGUAAAGUAGUCUUAAAGCGAUGCUUCAGACCACUGGGGAGACCAGAGAAUAUUUUAAAAAAUCAGCCCAUAUGCCUUUAACAUAACCAGCAUUUAGCUGCGAGCCAUUUUGUGACUUUUUUCUAAGUGGCAGUAUGGGGAAUGGAAGGGCUAAUUCUAGGUUCCAGGCCUGAUUCUUUUUGUAUAACGAGGUCACCCAGACUCCAAAGAACUCUCUUCCCUGGUCUGGGUUUCCUCACUAGAAUGUGAUGAGUCGAACACACACUCCCACGGAAAUGCCGUCUGGUGACUUAAACUGCUUCUGUGGACGUGUGCAUUCUGCCUUUGCUAUUGUGUGGAGGCAGAGUCUGCUGUACCCCUAAGGCAGUCAGUUAGCAGAAUUCCCUUUUUCCAAGGGGGGGGGGCUCUCUCUUAAGAUGUUUAGGUAAUUCAUUGAGGUCUGCACACAUUAUGGGGGAUAAUCCACUGUUCCUCGUGUUUACUGAUAGAAAGGCUGAUGUCUCCGCUGUAAAAUACCUUCUCAUCUGGAGGAAGAUUUGAACAACCUGGGUGCUGUAGUCCGGCCAAGAGGACAUCCAGUCAGCGGCUCAGAUGGCAUCUGAGAUUUCCUGAAUGGACCACAUAGCAGCUGCUUUUGCAUGUCUUUGUCCCUGGCUUUCCAGUUUUCAUACUCUGAGUUUACGCUGAGGAGUUUCACAGGGUCUAUCCUGUGCUUUGUUCUCCUUUGGCCCUUGCGGCUGUUCUGCUGUUAGUCCAACGGCCCUGCAUAUUAACUACUUCCUGUCAGCGUAGAGUGGGUGUUAGUGCCGGUUCUCGAAGCCUUAGCUGUCACUCUGUGGAUCGGCACUCAGAACACA